rnacentral:lncRNA from 10 species
AGCGAAGGGCACGCCCCGCGCGGGUGCCAGGGAGGCCGGCAGGGGCGUCCGCGGUCGCUGCUCACCUGCGCUCCCCGCUGCCCGGCCCAGCCCGCCUCGCCACCGAGUCUGGAAGCCCACACUCACCCCUUUACCCGGGAAACGCGGCCGGAGCCGGCGGCGGGUCGGGAGUCCGAGAUGGUAGAUCCCCCUCCAGGCGCCUCGCUGACAUUUUGUCCCGGACGGAAAACCUCCGCGCGUGCCCCUUAAAGACACAGCGCUGCAUUCACACGUCUGCGGGGAAAGGGGGGCCGUCACGUGUGGCCUUCGCCCGAAAGCGGUAGGGGAGUCGCUCUGAAACCGCCAAGGAUCGCGAGCGACAGAUUUGUGUUGGCCAGGGUUUUAAGAUGACGCAAUAGCUGAGUGUGGUUGAAAUGUAACUAUUGUUUUACAACUUUGCAUUAACCUUCCAAGACCUGAAUUCCCGGGCCUGAGUCUCAGAGCGCGGUUUGCAUCUUUGCAGGCUGUAGGCGCAUGAUGUCACAAGUUAUUGGAAGAAAUCCCUCCAACCUAGGUUGGGACAGAUGAAGGCGGCGCUUAUUGGUGUUCACCAAAACACCAGCAUGGUGUACCAGCUUUGGCUAGAUGAUGCUCAGGAAAACACAGAUCCUGGUGCCGAACAUGAGGACAGGGCAGGCCGAAGGAGAAAGUGGAAGGAGGGGAGCUUCUCUCUCAGCCUCAUCCUUCUGGGCCUGGAUGCUGGAGAGUCAUGAGGUGCUUCAGAGUACUCUGGGUGAGGAGGGAAAGAUGGUGCCCACCACAUGGAGGCCAGCCUAGGUCUUGUAUGAAACCUGUGAGUUUUAUAGAUUGAGAGGAACUACGCUCAAGGAGCCUCAUGCAUACCUGGACCUGAUUUAAAUGAUGAGAUGCUGGACUUCAAGCAGAUGCUGUAAUGAUAUGAGGUUCUCAGGGACCUUGGGAAAUAGUAAAUGUAUUUUGUGUGUGAGAGGGACACAAAUCAUUGGAGGCCAAAAGGGUGAACUGAGGACAGAUGCUAGGGUAGCUCCCACAAUCCCCACCUCCUGGUUUCACCCUUGUGGGAUCUCGCCAUGAGUGUGGAUGGAACCUGUGAUUUGCUUCUAACUAGUAGAAUUUGGCAAAAAAUGAUGAGAUAUAUGUGAUUAUGUUUACAUGAUUAUAUUAUAUAAGAUUCUGAGUACAUUGAGCUGCAUAGAGAGAGCACGGGGGCAAGUGAGAGCCAGGUGGGUACUGGAAAGCUCUGUGCCUCACUGAGGAAAAAUAACUAAACAUGGGCAAAAGAGAUCCAUGGAACCUGAGAGGCAAGGUGUUAUUAUAU